GGUUUGAAGAGGACGACGCACCGCUACUGGUCGGCUGCGAGUGCUACACCUGUACACACCACUGUCGGGCGUAUAUCCACCACCUGAUCAAUGUCAAGGAGCUGCUGGCGCCGGUUCUACUCAGUCUACACAACCUGCAUCACUGGAGUUCGUUUUUCUCGGCCAUCCGAGCGGCUCUGCAGAACGGCACUCUGGCGGAGCUGGCUGAGUGUUACGAGCGCCUGGAGGCGGCGCCCGGCGGCACUAACUCCUGAUGGAAGUCGUCCACUUAUUGUCUCUAACAUGAACUGACCCAUCUCCAAAACAAGUGGACAAAUCGGCGGAGACGGGCGUGUUUCUGGAGACGUUGUUGUGACUGUUUCGGAAAACGAAACGCUGAACAAAGUGAUACAGGUUUUUUGCUGUUGCGGGGCUGGUGAUUUUUAGUCAUGUUUUAGGUGUCGCUAAUCAACGCUUCGGGGCACAAACUUCACCUCAUCUGGGCGUGUCGUGUUACUAUUAUUACCUUCGCAUAUGUUGGGCUAUCCGAGCUUCAUUACGAGUCGCUCUCGGCUCUUUUUGUGGCCUGGUGGUGGCACAUUGACCUGCGGUUUCCUGGUAGGGUGUAUGCCGACCAGUGACGCUGGGGGCAGCUGUCAGGAGCAUGUGUCACGAGUCCGCUCCGGCCGCGCAGAUUACCUCAAUCUGACCGGCGCGGCCGACCGGCGAGCGGUGCGGAGAAACGGGAUUAUUCCCGCAUAGGUGAACGCUGCCAGUUUUCCUGACGGGAAUAUGAGAUGUGCCGUGCGCUGUGGAGAUGUUACUGCGAAAUACUUGUGAGGAGGGGAGAAAUGAUGCGCUGGCUGGAGACAGAGUGGUGGAGGAGGGAAGCAUGUGACCGGCAACAAGGAAUAUCGUACCAGAUGAGACACCCAAACAUAGUUGGACGACUGGGCGGCGAGUCACAAACCAUCAACAACUCGCCCAGUCCCAAGUACUCUCAACUCUCCUAACGCUGACCGAGUUCGCCUUCGCCCUGGUUCGGGGAGCAGGUGGGUCGCUCGUUUGCCGUCGGGCUAUCGAUUUGCCCGGCUGGGCAGACCGCCGCCGCUGCUGCCUUUCCGCGGACCAGAGCCAGCCACCUGUAGAAGCGCUGGCUCUCCGACGAAGCCUGCGGCCCAGCGCUGAGCACGGCUGCGGGCGCAGCUUACGGAGGAAUAUGUAUCCCUGGGUGCGGUGGGCUGAGAUCGCUCUGCUAGCUGACAGGCGCCGGCGGGGCGGAGUUGCAUCGGGUAGUUAGCGGAGCUGUGGCCCGGGUACUGAGUUGGUGAGGAGGGGAGGUUUCGCUUGCGACGCUGUUUACCUUGUUGAUCUCUGUGUGUGCGGACAUCGUACAUCAUUAGUGACAUCGUUAUGGAGGACCAACAAAUAAAUGCACUGCCCGUC